rnacentral:rRNA from 1 species
GACGAACGCUGGCGGCGUGCCUAAUACAUGCAAGUAGAACGCUGAAGCGAGGAGCUUGCUCUUCUUGGAUGAGUUGCGAACGGGUGAGUAACGCGUAGGUAACCUGCCUUGUAGCGGGGGAUAACUAUUGGAAACGAUAGCUAAUACCGCAUAACAAUGGAUGACACAUGUCAUUUAUUUGAAAGGGGCAAUUGCUCCACUACAAGAUGGACCUGCGUUGUAUUAGCUAGUAGGUGAGGUAAUGGCUCACCUAGGCGACGAUACAUAGCCGACCUGAGAGGGUGAUCGGCCACACUGGGACUGAGACACGGCCCAGACUCCUACGGGAGGCAGCAGUAGGGAAACUUCGGCAAUGGGGGCAACCCUGACUGGGCAACGCCGCGUGAGUGAAGAAGGGUUUCGGAUCGUAAAGCUCUGUUGUAAGUCAAGAACGGGUGUGAGAGUGGAAAGUUCACACUGUGACGGUAGCUUACCAGAAAGGGACGGCUAACUACGUG